rnacentral:pre_miRNA from 1 species
AAAAAAGGCAAACCUAGGUUUCCGUGUCCAACUUUAACUGUUCAUCUUAUAUGAAAUUUUUUUAUAAUUCGUAUUUUUAUUGUUGUUAGAUGAUAAAACAUGAUUAAUAUUUUAUGCGUGACUUGUCUUUUUAAUUUUUUUAUAAUUUUUUUAAAUAAGACGGACGGUCAAAUAUUGGACAGAAAUCAUGGUU